GAUGAACGCUAGCGAUAGGCCUAACACAUGCAAGUCGAGGGGCAUCACAUGAAGUAGCAAUACGGAUGGUGGCGACCGGCGCACGGGUGAGUAACACGUAUGCAACCUGCCUUCAACAAGGGGAUAACCCGUUGAAAGACGGACUAAUACCCUAUAACACAGGGGUCCCGCAUGGGAAUAUUUGUUAAAGGACAACCGGUUGAAGAUGGGCAUGCGUUCCAUUAGCUAGUUGGCGGGGUAACGGCCCACCAAGGCAACGAUGGAUAGGGGAACUGAGAGGUUUAUCCCCCACACUGGUACUGAGACACGGACCGAGACUCCUACGGGAGGCAGCAGUGAGGAAUAUUGGUCAAUGGACGCAAGUCUGAACCAGCCACGUCGCGUGAAGGAAGACGGCCCUACGGGUUGUAAACUUCUUUUAUACGGGAAUAAAUGCCCACCGGUGGGGUUUUGCAUGUACCGUAUGAAUAAGGAUCGCUAACUCCGUGCCAGCAGCCGCGGUAAGUACUGACUCA
rnacentral:rRNA from 1 species